ACCCUGACCCUCAGCUAAGGCCCCCAAUUCAUGGCUAAGUGGGAAAGCAGGUGGGACGACCAAAACAACCAGGAGGUUGGCUUAGAAGCAGCCAUCCUUUAAAGAUAGCGUAACAGCUCACUGGUCUAAUUAAGUUGUCCUGCGGCGAAGAUGUAACGGGGCUCAAGCCAUGAGCCGAAGCUUAGGAUGCAUUUAAUGCAUGGUAGCGGAGCGUAGUGUGACAUAGCACCGUUCCUCUUUUGCGGUUUGGUAUGAGCAAUCAUACCCUGCGUAAUGGAGGAUAUGGUGUUUUCUGUGAAGCCGGGCUGUAAGGCAUCCGGUGGAGAGAUCACUAGUGAGAAUGAUGACAUGAGUAGCGACAAAGAGUGUGAGAGACACUCUCGCCGAAAAUCCAAGGGUUCCUGCUUAAAGCUAAUCUGAGCAGGGUGAGCCGACCCCUAAGUCGAGGCCGAAAGGCGUAGACGAUGGGAACCAGGUUAAUAUUCCUGGGCCAGGAGGAUGUGACGGAUUGUGAAGGUUGUUUCCCCUUAUUGGAUUGGGGAGGCCGCUGAUCAGUUCCUGGAAAUAGCCCUCCAUGAGAUCGUACCCUAAACCGACACAGGUGGAUAGGUAGAGAAUACCAAGGCGCUUGAGAGAACUACGUUGAAGGAACUCGGCAAAAUACCUCCGUAAGUUCGCGAGAAGGAGGCCCAGUUUCUACGCAAGUAUUGGCUGGGGGCACAAACCAGGGGGUGGCGACUGUUUACUAAAAACACAGGGCUCUGCGAAGUCGCAAGACGACGUAUAGGGUCUGACGCCUGCCCGGUGCCUGAAGGUUAAAAGGAGAUGUGAGAGCGUCGAAUUGAAGCCCAGGUAAACGGCGGCCGUAACUAUAACGGUCCUAAGGUAGCGAAAUUCCUUGUCGGGUAAGUUCCGACCUGCACGAAUGGCGUAACGACUUCCCCGCUGUCUCCAAUGUAGACUCAGCGAAAUUGAAUUGCCUGUUAAGAUGCAGGCUUCCCGCGGUUAGACGGAAAGACCCCGUGCACCUUUACUACAGCUUCACACUGGCAUUAGGUCAGACGUGUGCAGGAUAGGUGGUAGGCUUUGAAACUCGGACGCUAGUUCGGGUGGAGCCUCCCUUGAGAUACCACCCCUGUCUGUCUUGAUGUCUAACCGCGGUCCGUUAUCCGGAUCCGGGACCCUGUGUGGCGGGUAGUUUGACUGGGGCGGUCGCCUCCUAAAGAGUAACGGAGGCGCGCGAUGGUUGGCUCAGACCGGUCGGAAAUCGGUCGUCGAGUGCAAUGGCAUAAGCCAGCCUGACUGUGAGUCUGACAAGACGAGCAGAGACGAAAGUCGGUCAUAGUGAUCCGGUGGUCCCGAGUGGAAGGGCCAUCGCUCAACGGAUAAAAGGUACGCCGGGGAUAACAGGCUGAUA
rnacentral:rRNA from 1 species